rfam:Mus musculus chromosome 3, GRC primary reference assembly.
ACAAAGGCUCUUUUCAGAGCCACCUACGUUGUCGAUGAAAGUAGCU